CAAGAUGGACUUUCCUAGCGAUCGGACUUCUCCAGACUCCGCCAACAAAAAAUCUCCAUCCGAGCUCCUGCAACAGGUGACUCCCACCUGAAACGUCAGCGACCUCGGAACAUCCGAGCCUCUCCCAGAAUGAUGAUGUGAAGAGCCAUUCUGCUCCAUCAGGCAUCCCAGCCGAGCUUCAACCGACGGAUCCAAACUCUCUGACAAGCCACGACAAGAGCCGUCACCCUGCUCCACUCUCUGCAAUGGAUUCCAUGCAGCUCCACCACCCUC
rnacentral:lncRNA from 1 species